rnacentral:rRNA from 1 species
UACGUAGGGGGCAAGCGUUGUCCGGAUUUAUUGGGCGUAAAGAGCGUGUAGGCGGUCAUGUAGGUCCGUUGUGAAAACUCGAGGCUCAACCUCGAGACGCCGAUGGAAACCAUGUGACUAGAGUCCGGAAGAGGAGAGUGGAAUUCCUGGUGUAGCGGUGAAAUGCGCAGAUAUCAGGAAGAACACCCGUGGCUAAGGCGGCUCUCUAGUACGGUACUGACGCUGAGACGCGAAAGCGUGGGGAGCGAACAGG